GUACCCGGUCCGGGUCGGCUGGGCUGCCCGCCGCUCCGCGCGCCCGGGCGGUCGCAGGUCGCGCCUGCUUUGGCCCCGGCGGGUUCGGCAUCCGAGCCUGGCAGGGGCCAAUAGAAAGUUUCCUACACUACUGAGGUUUAGGGGCACUGUGAAGCAAAAGCCACGCCUCAGAAUCCCAGGCGGAGACUCCGACCUCGUCCCGGGAGGGAAGCCAGUAGCUGAGCACCUGCGGGAGAUUAAAGAGAGGAAUAAGGAGGUGAGUACAUGACAAAGAGCCACAGUCGCAGGCGGUGGGGCCUGGCUCAGAACAGGCUGUGCUGGGAAGCGGGAGCAGGAGCUGGCGCCGCCUUGCGGGCUGGCAGAGGACCAUCCACUCCCUGGCGCUGGGGCCGUCCCAUCUCAUGGGCAAGAAACGUGAGACCCCUGGCUCGCUCCACACACAACCUAAGUGCCAGAUGGAUGAGACGCCUACGCGUGAGUAAAUGCCAGGAACAUGAGACUCGAACGUGGCAGGAUAUCCUUCUGCCCACGAAUCUAAAAGCUUACUCGGUAAUGGGAGAAUGGUUCCAAUUUGAUAAACUCGGGUUUUUGGAACGUCUGUGCUCCAGAAACACUGGAAGGCAAGUGGCUGCUGACUGGAGGAGAUAAUUGGAUGCUGCAAGCGGCAAAGGGCUCGGGAUGCAAAACACCGCAAGAAAUGCAACAAGUGAGGAGCAUUCCCGCAAAGAAAAAACGCACAGGCCGAGAGCAGUGGCUCACGCCUGU
rnacentral:lncRNA from 1 species